rnacentral:rRNA from 1 species
UCUCAGUUCGGAUUGGAGGCUGAAACCCGCCUCCAUGAAGUUGGAUUCGCUAGUAAUCGCGCAUCAGCCAUGGCGCGGUGAAUACGUUCCCGGGCCUUGUACACACCGCCCGUCAAGCCAUGGGAGCUGGGGGUGCCUGAAGUUCGUGACCGCAAGGAUCGACCUAGGGCAAAACCGGUGACUGGGGCUAAGUCGUAACAAGGUAGC